rnacentral:tRNA from 1 species
GCACCUCAUGCGCCGGGAGUCCGGGCAUCGGGCCAUUAGGGAUGGCCCGCGCACAAGCAUUUCAGGCGCACGGGCGUUCGGCCCCGCCGAUGUGCC